UCUCAGUUUGUUGUGUAACAAGAGACAGUGACAGAAAUGAUGUCCAUUGUCCAUCUUCUGUGACCAGUUUCACCAGAAUCAGUGAAGACAUGGUUCUGGCAACCCUCCCCUUCCAAGAAAUGAUUCUUAUUAUCAGCCCUAAAACCUUUAAGAUCAAAAGGAUAC